UACCAGCACCCCGAGUGGUCGGGACGAUUAUUGGGCCUAAAGCAUCCGUAGCCGGUCUACAAGUCUUCCGUUAAAUCCACCUGCUUAACAGAUGGGCUGCGGAGGAUACUAUAGAGCUAGGAGGCGGGAGAGGCAAGCGGUACUUAGUGGGUAGGGGUAAAAUCCGUUGAUCCAUUGAAGACCACCAGUGGCGAAGGCGGCUUGCCAGAACGCACUCG
rnacentral:rRNA from 1 species